GAAGAAACGCUCUCUCAUCUUGCCUGUACUACUGUGUAUGUACAGCAAAAUGACAAUAAACUUGAUUUGAUUUGUCAAAAGCAGUUUAAAAGCAACUGAAAAUAGCACAUUUGGAACAUGGUGGUUGGUGUUGGUACUGAAUCUCAUCUGACGGGCCCAUGUUGGUACGUCUGACAAAAAGUGUUGGAAAUCACCUUCUCAUACGACUCUCAGUUAUUUCUCCUAAACCCCAAACAUAUUGCAGACACAAAACUUGUCCUUGCUUUAAGUCCUGCUAACAAGGAAACACCAGUGUGGGUAUAGGUUGUGCAUUUAAAGUCAGAAGUUACAUAUUUAUAGCGUUCUUCCAUAUCAAUAAUCCCCUCCUGCCUUAAAAGAAUUAGAUGUAACUCUAUGCUGUUACUUCCUUUAGAAUGUACAGAUCUAUGAAUUUCCCGCCCCUCACUCCACCCAUCUUGCUGUAUCUUGAGCACACCAGCUCAGCUAUGACUCUGUUCAGAAACUGAAACUCUACACAAUGACAAGUUGUAAUAUUGAAGUAAUUUGCCAUACAUGCUCAAACUAGAAACCCAUUCUGAAGAAGAUAAAUUAUACAGAAAACCCCACACGACAAGUUGACAGGAUCAGUUCCUUGGAGUUGCAUAUGAGUAAUGCAUCUUGUGCUAAUCUCACAUAUGUCUGUGUUCUUUGGGCAGUUUAGUAAGAGCACCAAGUCCCUGCGAGGAGAGAUUUUGGACAAUCUGGCACCUGGUAGACAAUACUGUGUCUCAGUCCGCUUCUCAGACCGGCUGGAGGACAAGGAGUCCAACUUCAGCAAACCUGUGUGUGCUGUCACCCCUGGAGUCUUUUCUGCAGACCCACUGAUCUCAGCCGUGUUGUGCUUGUCGGUGAUAGCUGGUGUGGUUGUUGUUGCCCUGCUGGUUGGUACUGGUUUCAUCUGUUUGAAAA